rnacentral:rRNA from 1 species
CCUACGGGAGGCAGCAGUGGGGGAUAUUGCACAAUGGGGGGAACCCUGAUGCAGCGACGCCGCGUGGGUGAAGGAGUGCUUCGGCAUGUAAAGCCCUAUCGGCAGGGAAGAAGCAAGACGGUACCUGACUAAGAAGCCCCGGCUAACUACGUGCCAGCAGCCGCGGUAAUACGUAGGGGGCGAGCGUUAUCCGGAUUCACUGGGUGGAAAGGGAGCGUAGACGGCCAAGCAAGCCAGGGGUGAAAGCCCGGGGCCCAACCCCGGGACUGCCCUUGGAACUGCAUGGCUGGAGUGCGGGAGGGGCAGGCGGAAUGCCUGGUGUAGCGGUGAAAUGCGUAGAUAUCAGGAGGAACACCGGCGGCGAAGGCGGCCUGCUGGACCGCGACUGACGUUGAGGCUCGAAAGCGUGGGGAGCGAACAGGAUUAGAUACCCCGGUAGUC